GUGCUCAUUUGAGCAGCACAUGUACUAAGAUUGGAAAGAUACAGAGAUUAGCAUGGCCCCUGAGCAAGGAUGACACGCAAAUUCAUGAAGCUUCCGUAUUCUUG